AGGACGAACGCUGGCGGCGUGCUUAACACAUGCAAGUCGAACGGUGAAGGAGAGCUUGCUCUCUGGAUCAGUGGCGAACGGGUGAGUAACACGUGAGUAACCUGCCCUUGACUCUGGGAUAAGCGUUGGAAACGACGUCUAAUACCGGAUACGAGCUUCAGUCGCAUGGCUAGGAGCUGGAAAGAAUUUCGGUCAAGGAUGGACUCGCGGCCUAUCAGCUAGUUGGUGAGGUAAUGGCUCACCAAGGCGACGACGGGUAGCCGGUCUGAGAGGGUGACCGGCCACACUGGGACUGAGACACGGCCCAGACUCCUACGGGAGCAGCAGCGGGAAUAUGCACAAGUGGCGCAAGCC
rnacentral:rRNA from 1 species